rnacentral:rRNA from 1 species
AGCCCAAACCAAUGAGCUUGCUUGUUGGGGUUGUAGGACACUCUAUACGGAGUUACAAAAGAAUAAACUAGACGAAUCAUCUGGAAAGAUGAAUCAAAGAAGGUAAUAAUCCUGUAGUCGAAAGUUUGUUCACUCUUGAGUGGAUCCUGAGUACGACGGAACACGAGAAAUUCCGUCGGAAUCCGGGAGGACCAUCUCCCAAGGCUAAAUAC